AUUCCGGUUGAUCCUGCCGGAGGCCAUUGCUAUCGGAGUCCGAUUUAGCCAUGCUAGUCGCACGAGUUCACACUCGUGGCAGAUAGCUCAGUAACACGUGGCCAACCUACCCUACAGAGACGAAUAACCUCGGGAAACUGAGGCUAACUCGUCAUAGAACUCCCACGCUGGAACGCCGGGAGUCACAAACACUACGGUGCUGUAGGAUGAGGCUGCGGCCGAUUAGGUAGACGGUGGGGUAACGGCCCACCGUGCCCAUAAUCGGUACGGGUUGUGAGAGCAAGAGCC
rnacentral:rRNA from 1 species